UAAUGUGGCUCAGCUGGUAGAGCAGCGCAUUCGUAAUGCGCAGGUCGUCGGUUCGAAUCCGACCAUUA
rnacentral:tRNA from 1 species